rnacentral:rRNA from 1 species
AGAGUUUGAUUCUGGCUCAGGAUAAACGCUGGCGGCGUGCCUUACGCAUGCAAGUCGAACGAAGCCCCUCGCUUCGGUGAGGGAGACUGAGUGGCAAACGGCUGAGUAACGCGUAGGUGAUCUGUCCCGAGGAGGGGAACAACCCGUGGAAACGCGGGCUAAUGCCCCAUACGCCCACCGGAUCGGACCGGUGGGGAAAUGUUCCGGCGCCUUGGGAGGAGCCUGCGUCCGAUUAGCUGGUUGGUGGGGUAACGGCCUACCAAGGCGACGAUCGGUAGCUGGUCUGAGAGGAUGAUCAGCCAGACUGGGACUGAGACACGGCCCAGACUCCUACGGGAGGCAGCAGCGAGGAAUCUUGCGCAAUGGGCGAAAGCCUGACGCAGCAACGCCGCGUGGGUGAUGAAGGCCUUCGGGUUGUAAAUCCCUUUUGCCGGGGAAGAACUUGACG